rnacentral:tRNA from 1 species
CUUGAUUAAAACCAAAAAGAGGUGUAUUAUUGUUAAUAAUAAAAUUAGAUUAUCUUAAUCAAGA